GCAAGUCGAGCGGAGAUGAGGUGCUUGCACCUUAUCUUAGCGGCGGACGGGUGAGUAAUGCUUAGGAAUCUGCCUAUUAGUGGGGGACAACAUUCCGAAAGGAAUGCUAAUACCGCAUACGCCCUACGGGGGAAAGCAGGGGAUCUUCGGACCUUGCGCUAAUAGAUGAGCCUAAGUCGGAUUAGCUAGUUGGUGGGGUAAAGGCCUACCAAGGCGACGAUCUGUAGCGGGUCUGAGAGGAUGAUCCGCCACACUGGGACUGAGACACGGCCCAGACUCCUACGGGAGGCAGCAGUGGGGAAUAUUGGACAAUGGGCGGAAGCCUGAUCCAGCCAUGCCGCGUGUGUGAAGAAGGCCUUUUGGUUGUAAAGCACUUUAAGCGAGGAGGAGGCUACUUAGAUUAAUACUCUAGGAUAGUGGACGUUACUCGCAGAAUAAGCACCGGCUAACUCUGUGCCAGCAGCCGCGGUAAUACAGAGGGUGCGAGCGUUAAUCGGAUUUACUGGGCGUAAAGCGUGCGUAGGCGGCUGAUUAAGUCGGAUGUGAAAUCCCUGAGCUUAACUUAGGAAUUGCAUUCGAUACUGGUCAGCUAGAGUAUGGGAGAGGAUGGUAGAAUUCCAGGUGUAGCGGUGAAAUGCGUAGAGAUCUGGAGGAAUACCGAUGGCGAAGGCAGCCAUCUGGCCUAAUACUGACGCUGAGGUACGAAAGCAUGGGGAGCAAACAGGAUUAGAUACCCUGGUAGUCCAUGCCGUAAACGAUGUCUACUAGCCGUUGGGGCCUUUGAGGCUUUAGUGGCGCAGCUAACGCGAUAAGUAGACCGCCUGGGGAGUACGGUCGCAAGACUAAAACUCAAAUGAAUUGACGGGGGCCCGCACAAGCGGUGGAGCAUGUGGUUUAAUUCGAUGCAACGCGAAGAACCUUACCU
rnacentral:rRNA from 1 species